GACGAACGCUGGCGGCGUGCUUAACACAUGCAAGUCGAACGGAAAGGCCCUGCUUUUGUGGGGUGCUCGAGUGGCGAACGGGUGAGUAACACGUGAGUAACCUGCCCUUGACUUUGGGAUAACUUCAGGAAACUGGGGCUAAUACCGGAUAGGAGCUCCUGCUGCAUGGUGGGGGUGGGAAAGUUUCGGCGGUUGGGGAUGGACUCGCGGCUUAUCAGCUUGUUGGUGGGGUAGUGGCUUACCAAGGCUUUGACGGGUAGCCGGCCUGAGAGGGUGACCGGCCACAUUGGGACUGAGAGACGGCCCAGACUGCUACGGGAGGCAGCAGUGGGGAAUAUUGCACAAUGGGCGGAAGCCUGAUGCAGCAACGCCGCGUGCGGGAUGACGGCCUUCGGGUUGUAAACCGCUUUCGCCUGUGACGAAGCGUGAGUGACGGUAAUGGGUAAAGAAGCACCGGCUAACUACGUG
rnacentral:rRNA from 1 species